rnacentral:rRNA from 1 species
AUUGAACGCUGGCGGCAGGCCUAACUCAUGCAAGUCGAACGGUAACAGGAAACAGCUUGCUGUUUCGCUGACGAGUGGCGGACGGGUGAGUAAUGUCUGGGAAACUGCCUGAUGGAGGGGGAUAACUACUGGAAACGGUAGCUAAUACCGCAUAACGUCGCAAGACCAAAGAGGGGGACCCUCGGGCCUCUUGCCAUCGGAUGUGCCCAGAUGGGAUUAGCUUGUUGGUGGGGUAACGGCUCACCAAGGCGACGAUCCCUAGCUGGUCUGAGAGGAUGACCAGCCACACUGGAACUGAGACACGGUCCAGACUCCUACGGGAGGCAGCAGUGGGGAAUAUUGCACAAUGGGCGCAAGCCUGAUGCAGCCAUGCCGCGUGUAUGAAGAAGGCCUUCGGGUUGUAAAGUACUUUCAGCGGGGAGGAAGGGAGUAAAGUUAAUACCUUUGCUCAUUGACGUUACCCGCAGAAGAAGCACCGGCUAACUCCGUG